AUUGUCCAUGUUAGAUUCUAUCGAUCGAUGCUGAUGUUAGUGAAGUUGAGUUUGGGAAGAAGGUAAGUGUUGGCACCGAUCCAGGCGCCAAUGAGAAGGGCAAGUCGUUGUGCCUAGCAGACACCCUCCGCGCGCACCGCGGCUGUGAUAGACACUGGAUCCAGGCAUGCCACGUUCGUCUACCUGCACGGAGAAUCCGCUAAUGGCAGAUGCAAGUCCUCCACCUAGAUCUAUUAUCGAGGAAGGACAUAGAGAUUUGACGAUGUGUUCGUUUUAAUGGUAGGACGGCAUGACAGGCGACGAAAUCCAGUCAUCUCCUAAGGGAGUGACGUUGUACGAUGGCCACUGCGGGUGGUGGAGCUGGGCGUCGUUCUCGCCGCGGCGCACGUGAUCCAGGACCGCCAUGUCGCGACGCACGAGACCUGCUUUGUGCCAAGACAAAGGUUGCCAAAGUUUGACUUGCAUCUCCAGGUCGCAGCGACAAAGAAAGGUGGGCGAUACGGUGACGACGCGGGAGCACAACCACCAGGUGCAAUUGUUCCACCUACUACUCUCCAUUCCUGCAGAGCACAACCUUUAGGUGUAGCGGUCCAGACUACUACUAAAUAGUAUGUAUGGUAUUGAUUUGGGGACAAUAGUGGGACUGGAGCUUGACGUCGACAUCGUGGCGACGAACGCAACGACAAAGAAGGUGAACACUACAUUUAUCUCGUUUUGUAGGACAUUGAGUUGUCCAAAGAAAUAAAUGAUUCAUUUAGGCAAUCAUCUCGA